rnacentral:tRNA from 1 species
GGUGAGGUGGCUGAGCGGCCGAAAGCAGCACACUGCUAAUGUGCUGACCUCCAAAAGGGGUCCGUGGGUUCGAAUCCCACCCUCACCG